CCUUUGGCUACCUGCCCUCAACCGGUGGCGACCACGUGAUCCCUGAUUUAAGAUUUUUCUCUCUCCUCGCUCAUUAAUUCGCUGCACGCGCUGCUGGUUGCGGACAGACGGCAGCGGUGUGGUCUCCGCAUCCGGUCAGCCACCUGGAGCACAGCAUAAACCCGGUUCAACUCUCCUUUGGCACACCUGGCGUAAAUUUCGUCAUCCAUCCAAGCGGACCGUGUCUAUGGGCUGAACAGCAAGAGCGGCUACUGCGCAUGUGCCAGCUAAUCCAGCAGAUCAUCGCAGCUACACAUCCUGCAGCGGCCUCCCUCUCCCUCCUACAAAGGCAAGUUUCCUUUCCCUUCUGCAACACGAUUGAAUUUACAAAUUACAAUUGGCUUCUGAUUCUGAAGUGUUUCUAAAAUGAUCAUCUUUCUACCAACUGCUUCCAGUGAUGACCACAGUUAAUUAAUCAGCUUGUUUACCUGCAUUCAUUCUUUCAUUCACUGUGUUGUCAUUUAUUGUUUGUCUAUAGUAUUAGUUAAGAAAUGUUAGUGCAUAAUUAUCGUUGAUUCCACCACAUAUUCAUGGAGGUCGGUGAAAUCAGAGUUCAUGACUUUUGAUAAUGACACUGAUCAACUCAAGUAGAUUUGAUCAAUUAUUAACAUUCAAUCUGAAGUAUUAAUUUCCAGAUUCAUAUUCAGCGCUGCCCUUGAUUGUAAAUGGGUGUAAUUUUAAUCAUAAAGUGUAGUUUCAACAUGAUGUGGGGUUGUGUAGUGAGGUUACACAUUGUAAAUAGUCUUUUAUUAUUAUUUGCUGCUCCCAUGUGAGACUAUAUUUCUGUUACACAAUAUCCACAAUAAUAAGUUUGUAGCUGGCUGCUGCUCUCGUUUGACCAUCGGGAGAUAGAACAGCCCACCAGGAAACUGUAAUUUCACUGACGACAUUUUCUCUUCUUCCUUUUGUAUGCUGAUUAUAGCAUGUUUAUUCUCCACUGCCAUGGCAUUAUGUAAUACACAGUCUUUCAGCCCCUGUAUUUAAUCAGCGUGUACAACAGUAGGACCUCCAACAACAGGAAUGCAUCUUUUCUACACUUGUGACUUCUGCACUGAUGAUUUGUGUUCACUUUAGUUUAAAUAAAUGACCUCUGUUUUUGGUAUAACUGUUGCCUAGACUCUGUCCUUGUAACACAUUGGUUCGGUCUCUCCAACUCCCACUGCAUCUUCAAACUCAUGUUUUUACAGCCUUGUGCUUCUUCUCAAGCACCUGGGUGUUUCACAGAAUGUUGCCUCUCUUAUGCUAAUAUUGGACGUUGCCUUCAUAUUGAUGAUGUGAGCAACACAAUGCUGAUGUGCAACUCCACUGAGGACAAACAUGACUCAGGAUGCGAGUCAGUUGUAAACAGGACGAAAUGUAAUGCAGAGUAUUUCAUGCCAAAAAAUGAAAGAAAUCUCACAAAAGGAUCCCGUUAGUCUUGCUUGCAUGUGCAGACUAAUGUUUGCAUAAAGUUGCCAGAGUGUUUGGAUCAACAAAAGGUGCUGGGAACUAUGUUGAAUUCUAGGUUGGUUGUGCUGUCCCGCCAAUUCUUUCUUUCCGUUUCCUAUUUGCAUCUUCAACUCUCCUAGGGUACAUUCUAACUUAGAUGCUCUUCAGCGGAUUUGAACAGAAAAGAAAGCGUCUUAGUUCUUUUCAUAUUUAAUUCAGCUAUUUCUAAUUUACAGAAAUUAAUGAAAUAUGUAUUAGCUAAAAGAAAACUUUACGCCAUACACGUUUCACUAUUGUUUAAAUAUAAAAAGAUACAUAUUGCAUUGAUUUUCUUUAAUAAGCCACAAAAAAAAAUCAUUUAUUCGUGGUUAGGAAGGUUAGAUUCUGAGCUAAUUGGCACAGCACUGCACAUACAGUGCAUACAGAAUGUUUUCACACACUGUCAAGUUUUCAACAUUUUAUUCUGAUUCAGGCUCAUCUUGAAAAAGAUUCAGUGUAUUUUUUAAUCAGCACUUUGCACACAAUACUCCAUAAUAACAAAACAAACAAAAAAAAAGAGACAGGUGUAGCCGGUCUGGCCCAUCCCACCUGUUACACAGAAACAUCCUACGUCUCUACUCUACUAUAUAAACCGAAUCCACUUCUGCCUAACUGAAUUCACUGGACAUCAUUUAAGAAGGACAUCUAUAGAAGGUCCCCCAGCUGAUAGUGGAGGUUGAGAUAAUUGCAUGUAGACAUGAACAUGUCGAAGCACAGAUGUGGGGAAGGAUACAAAAACAUUUCUGAAGCGUGCAAGUGCACAUGAGAGUCCUCUUAGCUCUGACCACCCAAUCAAUAAUAACAGUAAUGGAUUAGAUUUAGGGCUGCUCAGCGGAAUAGUGGUUAGCACUUUCGCCUUGCAGCAAGAAGAUCCCUGGUUCGAAUCCUGGGGUGGGUCUGGGAUCUUUCUGCAUGGAGUUUGCAUGUUCUCCCUGAGCAUGCGUGGGUUUCCGCCAGGCACUCCAGCUUCCUCCCACAGUCCAAAAACAUGCUGAGGUUAAUUGACUACUCUAAAUUGCCCGUAGGUGUGAAUGCGAGUGUGAUUGUUCGUCUAUGUAUGUAGCCCUGCAACAGACUGGCGACCUGUCCAGGGUGUCCCCUGCCUUCGCCCGAGUCAGCUGGGAUAGGCUCCAGCACCCCCCGCGACCCUAGUGAGGAUAAAGCGGUGUAUAGAGAAUGGAUGGAUUAGAUUUAUAUAGCGCUCUUCUAUUCAGGCAUACUCAAAGCACGUACAAUGAAUCCAUCAUUCAUUCACUCACACAUUCUCACUCUGGUGGUGAUAGCCACAGCUGCCCUGGGGCAGACUGACGGAAGUGUGGCUGCCAAUCCGCGCCUACGGCCCCUCCCACCCCCAUUAACAUUCACACACAUUCAUACACCAGUAUGAGAGCAGCACUGGAGGCAAGGCGGGUAAAGUGUCUUGCCCAAGGACACAACAGCACAUGACUAGGUGGGAGCAGGAAUCGAACAGCCAAACCUUCGAUCAUUGGACGACCUGCUCUACCACCUGAGCCACAGCCGCCUCCGACUGAAUAAUCUGUGACGAAGGGCCUUGGUCACAUGUGACCAAGAAACCAAUAGUCACAACGCAUGAGAUUAAGAGUUUCUUUGUGGACAUGAGAGACCAUUACAGAAGGCCAAACAUAGUGCAGGACUCAGGGAAAUUGGUCUUUAUGGUAGAGCGACCAGAUGGAAGCCUUUCCUCACUAAGGUACAUAUAGUUAGCUGGGAGUUUGCCAAAAGGCACCAGAACAAUUCUCAGACCAUGAAUGAUGAAAGGAAGAUUGAACUACUGAGACCCAACUCCUAAUGGCAUGUAUGGAGGAAACCAGGCACUGAGCAUGACCUCAGUAAUACCAUCCAUGCAGUCAAACACGGUGGUGGCAGCAUUAUUCUCUGGGGGCUUUUUUCUGUGGUAAGGAAUGGGAGAUUGAUCAGGACAAAUUUUUUUAAAAAAAUGUAGUAGUUCCAAUUUAAAGCCUUUUCCAGAGUCCCCGUGAUCUCAGGCUGGGAUGACGGCAACAAGACAACAACCUGAACCAUGCUGCAAGACAGGAGUGGCUUUGUGCAAAAUCUGUGAAAGUUGUGGAGUGGUUCUGGAAGAAACCUGUGGGCCAAGCUUGUAGAAUCAUUCAAAAGAAGACUUGAGGGUACCAGAAGUGUUUUACCUGAAUACUGUGCCAAGUGUUUGAGUACCUACAUUACCGUUCAAAAGUUUGGGGUCACCCAGACAAUUUCAUGUUUUCUAUGAAAACUCACACUUUUAUUCAUGUACAAGGGUUUUCUAAUCAUCAAUUAGCCUUUCAACACCAUUAGCUAACACAAUGUAGCAUUAGAACACAGGAGUGAUGGUUGCUGGAAAUGUUCCUCUGUACCCCAAUGUAGAUAUUCCAUUAAAAAUCAGCCACAGAAACUGCUUUUCUUUCAAAAAUAAGGACAUUUCUAAGUGAUCCCAAACUUUUGAACAGUACUGUACGUAAACUUUUAUUUAAAUAAAUAAACUUUGUCAUUGUUAAGUAUUAUGGCAAAUUGUGGAGAAAAAAAACGAUUUUGAUCCAUUUCAAGAGUCCAAAACACAGCAAAAUGCAAAAAAUUAAAAUUAAAAGAGUCACCCUAAGAUCACAUAGCGAAUGACCCCUUAAUGAAAUGGGACUCACGUGUUGGAAGUGUGAACAGUUGUGAACCGUCAGGAAUGACACAAGAUGUUCAUGUUUGUGAAGCUUUCUGGGAAAAGACGUCAACACUGUGAUAUAAGUACCUGGUAAGUGGAGUCUUAGGCUCUGUAAACUGGAACAGCCAUCUGCUAACAGAAGAGGAAAUCUCUGACAACACUUAUCAGGUACUCAUCUUAAGAUCUCUCACCAUCAUUAACACCAUGAGUCAUCCCUGAUCUGGAAGUUUCACAACCGUUCACAUAAUAAAUGCAAUCGCAUAUCACUGGAUUUCUUGCGCUAUGCGACAGCUUUAGCUCAGCUUGCUAUUUAUCUGGGAAAACCUGUGCACAAAGAGUCAAUUUCUUGUGAUCAAGCUAUGUUAAAUUUGAGAUUUUAAAAAAAUAGGAAAAAACAAGUAUAAAUACACAAGUAAGAAAGCUGAAUAAAGUAUUCAGUCAUUGUGCUAAAUAACAGUACAGACAAGAAGAGAGUGAUAAUUGUCCAAAGGCUUUAUAGCAAACUCCGGUUUUGCAUCUGAUGAAUGAGAGCUCAGACAAAGUGAGUGUGGCUGCUCUGCUGCUUUAUUGUUGAGUGCCUGAGAUGAGAGAGCAGCUGAUUGAGGGAGAGGGCAAAAGGUCCAAGAGGCAGGGAGUUGUGUUGUGAUCAUAUAAAUUAGCUACCCGUCUGCCUUCCACGCUGCUGAAUGUACUCUGUUAUUGUAUUUGCUCUCAUGGUCAAUUAUUUGUUGUGCAAACCAUGGGAUGAGAAUGGGACUAAAUAAAUGGCUCUGACCUGUUGAACCCAGACCAGUCCACCGCAACCAGCCAAUGGACACUCCAGUGACG